UCGCAAUCUCUUUUGCCAAGGUAAGUGUUAAUAAGCAACUAACAGAUUGGGGUUUAAUACUUUAAUGGAUGUAUUAAUUUGUUGUUACUGAUAUAGGACUCGUCUUUUCUAUUUAUGGGGAGAUUAUUGGAAGAUUUCGGCGUUUGUAUAAUCUCUUACGUGGUUCUUGUUUAUAUAGCUGAGAUAUCACCUCAAAACAUGAGAGGUACCCUUGGAUCGGUCAAUCAGCUCUCUAUCACAAUUAUUGGAAUAAUGUUGGCAUACCUCCUAGGCCUUUUUGUUAACUGGAGAACACUUGCAGUUCUAGGU